rnacentral:rRNA from 1 species
UACGUAGGGGGCUAGCGUUGUCCGGAUUCAUUGGGCGUAAAGCGCGUGUAGGCGGCCAGGUAGGUCCGAUGUGAAAACUGGAGGCUCAACCUCCAGCUGUCACUGGAAACCAUCUGGCUAGAGUCCGGAAGAGGAGAGUGGAAUUCCUGGUGUAGCGGUGAAAUGCGCAGAUAUCAGGAAGAACACCGAUGGCGAAGGCAGCUCUCUGGGACGGUACUGACGCUGAGACGCGAAAGCGUGGGGAGCGAACAGG